CAGCAGCGGAGAGGACUACCGAAGCUUGCAGUCGCGGUUUGAAAACUGCAGCCGCGUCUGGGGCAUCGCCGUUCGCCAGAUCCCUCCCCCUAGAGAGGUCAGUUCGAGAGGUGUGAAUAUCCGGAGACCGGGGAGAAGGAAGCCGCAAAAUUCGUCCCAGCUGCCUGCGACUAGUUACCAAACUUCAGUGCCUACCAAAGACCUAUUUUCUGACUCUUCUUGAGAGUCUUCCUUAGGACCGGAACGUACCCUGUAAGUGGAGAACCCAGUUUGCUACAACUUGGCAGAGGUUCCUCGGAGUGUCAACAUCAGUUGGGGAUUUAUGGAACCUAGACCCCACUGCUAACGUCCGCUGUCGCGAAUGGUGUCCCUUCUGAGGCACUGACUGAAGGCAGUGUAGGGAGGGUCCCAAUAGGCUGAAUAGCCGAUUUUGCAUUUAUAGUGCUAAGGAAAAAGAUGAAAGCCCUCAGCAACCUACUCAAGAUCUGUUAUCCUUUGAAGACAGUGGAAAUUUUCAAAGUUCUGUGCAAGACACAAAUGUUUUACAUAGAUAUAUAAUCCUAGUUUAUAUGUAUAGGAUACACACAUACUCAUACAUAUAUGGGAUUAGUUAUGUAAUCUAGGAUUGCUUUCAGAGGACAUUUACGAUAAUUGCAGAAAACCCUUCCGUGGGAAAGGAUACUGGGAGUGGAGUCGUCCUCUUGCUUUCAAAAGACUUAAUGUUCAGUUAGCAUAUAAAGGACAGGUUUUCUUGUUCUAUCCCAGUAAGCCAAGCAAAUUCCUGUGAAGCUAGCUGUUUCCCUUUCCUACUGCAUUUUCCCCAAGAUAAAGGUAUAGAAUGCAUCACAGCCCUUUUAUGAAGUCUGUUUGUUGUUACUUAGGUUAACUCCUCCUCCCAGGUUAAUAAUGUCUUGCCCCUAAACCUUGUCAAAUGGAGAAUAUUGCUUCCAUCUAUCUAAUUUCUUGUUGCUAACAAUUGGGCUGACUAGAGAAGCCUAAAGUUAGGAUGAAAAUAAAAUGCCACACACUGGAAUUAA